rnacentral:rRNA from 1 species
AGUGAACGCUGGCGGUAGGCCUAACACAUGCAAGUCGAACGGCAGCACAGUAAGAGCUUGCUCUUACGGGUGGCGAGUGGCGGACGGGUGAGGAAUACAUCGGAAUCUACUUUUUCGUGGGGGAUAACGUAGGGAAACUUACGCUAAUACCGCAUACGACCUACGGGUGAAAGCAGGGGAUCUUCGGACCUUGCGCGAUUGAAUGAGCCGAUGUCGGAUUAGCUAGUUGGCGGGGUAAAGGCCCACCAAGGCGACGAUCCGUAGCUGGUCUGAGAGGAUGAUCAGCCACACUGGAACUGGGACACGGUCCAGACUCCUACGGGAGGCAGCAGUGGGGAAUAUUGGACAAUGGGGGCAAGCCUGAUCCAGCCAUACCGCGUGGGUGAAGAAGGCCUUCGGGUUGUUAAGCCCUUUUGUUGGGAAAGAAAAGCAGCAGGUUAAUACCCCGCUGUUCUGACGGUACCCAAAGAAUAAGCACCGGCUAACUUCGUG